rnacentral:rRNA from 1 species
GAGCUUGCUCUUCUGGAUGAGUUGCGAACGGGUGAGUAACGCGUAGGUAACCUGCCUGGUAGCGGGGGAUAACUAUUGGAAACGAUAGCUAAUACCGCAUAAGAGUAGAUAUCGCAUGAUAGCUGCUUGAAAGGCGCAAUUGCACCACUACCAGAUGGACCUGCGUUGUAUUAGCUAGUUGGUGAGGUAACGGCUCACCAAGGCAACGAUACAUAGCCGACCUGAGAGGGUGAUCGGCCACACUGGGACUGAGACACGGCCCAGACUCCUACGGGAGGCAGCAGUAGGGAAUCUUCGGCAAUGGACGAAAGUCUGACCGAGCAACGCCGCGUGAGUGAAGAAGGUUUUCGGAUCGUAAAGCUCUGUUGUAAGAGAAGAACGAGUGUGAGAGUGGAAAGUUCACACCGUGACGGUAUCUUACCAGAAAGGGACGGCUAACUACGUGCCAGCAGCCGCGGUAAUACGUAGGUCCCGAGCGUUGUCCGGAUUUAUUGGGCGUAAAGCGAGCGCAGGCGGUUAGAUAAGUCUGAAGUUAAAGGCUGUGGCUUAACCAUAGUACGCUUUGGAAACUGUUUAACUUGAGUGCAAGAGGGGAGAGUGGAAUUCCAUGUGUAGCGGUGAAAUGCGUAGAUAUAUGGAGGAACACCGGUGGCGAAAGCGGCUCUCU